CAUAACCGAAGACCUAUAAUUUUCAGGGCUGCGAAGCGGAGCACGGUUGAGGCGCAGUUGCAGUAUCGGGCCGUGCCGGAUACGGGUGCCACGGGAGGCCGAUUGCAAGUGUCGACAAUCAAUCGGAACGCGAAUUAAGGUGGGUUGUGCUUACCGAAGCGAUUAGGUCGCCCUUUAUGUCUAAGAAACUAAGAAUCCAUGUUGAUGCAUAUAAAUGUAAAUGAAGCAUGUAAAUGAUGCAUGUAGCUAAAUAAUGCAUGUUGAUAGUAUGAUGUAAAUGCUAAAUAGAAUGCAUUAUGAGCAAGUUACAUAAUGCUAAAUAAUGUAAUGUAGAAAUGCUAGAAUGCAUUAUGAGCAAGUUACAUAAUGCUAAAUAAUGUAAUGUAGAAAUGCUAGAAUGCAUAAUGAGCAAGUUAUAUGAUGCAUGUUUAUAGUAUGAUGUAAAUGCUAAGUAGAUGCAUAUAAAUGAUAUAUGAGAUUAUAAACGCAUGAUUAGCAUUAUGAGAUCAUAGAUGCAUGCUUAGCAUUGUGAGAUUAUAUAUGCAUAUGAACUUGGUUGAUAACUCUAGCUUGAUUAGAGAGAUAACAUUGGAAAAUGAGAAUUGAUAACUCUAGAAUGAGUAGAAUGCUUAAUUGGACAAUUAGUAUGUGAAUUAGAUCGAGUGGCAUCUAACUUAGUGUUAAGGAACAUAGGUCGUGAGUAGACCUAGAAUCAAAUAGAUCGAGUGGCAUCUAACCUAGUGUUAAUAAACAUAGGUCGUGAAAUGAAAAGUACUUAACCUAGAGUCAAGUGAACCUAGGUUGGAAAGAAUAAUGAUCCUAGUGUAAUAAACCUAGGUUAAGAAUGUGAAAGCAAUAAACCUAAUGGGUGAACUUAGGUUGAGUAAAGGCUUAGACCUAGAGAGGUCAGUUCCAUAGGGUUAAGACCAACCCCUAUGUGAUGUGAAAUGGAUUCCGGAAUCCCAAGGCUAAAAGGAUACACCCAAAGUGGUGUCGGGUGUGUGCGACGAUUUCGCCGCCCAAGGGCUAAAGAACCAUUGUCGUGGCGUGUGCGACGAUUUCGCCGCCGGAUGGUUAGCCAGUUUGUGGAUCCUACCGCCUGUUGAUUGAACCACUGUCGUGGCGUUUGUGCGACGAUUUCGCCGCCGGGUGGCUUAGUCAUGGACCUAGGCCGUUGUUGGGUGAGGUGCGAUUCGUUCGCCGCCAGACGGCUAGGAUAGGAGUACGGUGAGCUGUUGCCAGCUGAGGUGCAUGUGAGAGUUCCUUCACCUCGAGCUAGAUAGUGCGCGGACUAUCCGCGAUUGAUUGACUCGAAGCCGAGUCGGGUGGUUAGCUAUGAUAGGGUAGAGGAACCCUUAUGAGCUAGAGAUAGAGGCUUGAGCUAAGGUAAUAGAAACCUUAGAAGCCAGUGGUUAGUGUUGUGAUCCUAAGGUAAUAGAAACCUUAGAGUAAAGUUAUGAGCUAAAGUAGCCAAGUAUAAGUAGAAUUCAAAUGAUCUACUAGUUGCAUGAUUUUCAUAUCUCAUAUCGUGAGGCAUGGCAUGUAUAUUUCAAUUGAAAAUAUAUGUCUGUUGUAUAUUGUUGAACUAACAUAUUGCAGUGCCUCCUCGGACCUAUCGGUCGAUCUUUUCCCUUAGGUGGCCGUACCCACUGGGAACCAUGGAGUUGGUUCUCACCCCACGUGGUUUUGGGGUGUUUUCAGGUUGUUCGUGCGCGGCGUGGUGGCGCGAGGCAAGGGCGUAGCUCAGUAGAUAGCGCCCCACCACAGAGACCGAGGUAGCAGUACCGUGAGACAGUCUAGCUUAGGGGUCUAGAAGACAAGAAAAGAAAAUGUAUCAAACUUGAUAACUCUGAUGUAAUAGCGAGAUUGUAAUUUGGAAGUAAAAAUGUAAACAGAAACUGUGAUGUAAAAAGUGGUUGUAAAAUGAAUGCAUGUAAUAGCAAGUAGAUUAUGUAUUUGAUACUUCCUUAUGCAAUCUGGAUUGAUAUCCGUUCCUAGUUGGAACAUUCGUUGAUUGUUUGGAUUGCGACGCCUUGGACGUACUGGGGAGACUCUGUCCGCGUACAAAGGAAUCCCCGGUCCGUUCGGUGGUCUGUCGUCGGCGCCGCGACCCUGUCCAAAUAGGCGGUUGGUCGCAGGGAGUGACAGAUAAGAUGGUAUCAGAGCAUAAAGUAGAGAAUGGGCUAUGGUUUAGCUGGACCUAGGAGACCUAGGAUAGUAAACCAUAGGAGAAUAAGGCUCGUGAGAGACGAGGACUUGUGAAUUACGGCGAAAGAUUGAUCGAUUGGGUCAGGUUAGUAACCCUCUGAAACGGAUGUUAGAGGUGGAUUCAAGGUUCAGUUUAUUCUCAGCCGAGGAUGUUCAUGUUGGGCAUGCACAACAUGAAACCGGGUGAUGAGAAUAGACGUCCUUGCGUGACUUUCGCCCGAUUUGAGUCAGUGUUAGUUGUCUCGUGUUCGACCCAGAGGGUCGAGGGUUGAACGAGUUGUCGUGCUUUAGGAAGCGAUGGCAUCGUGUAGGCGAUCAAUAUAAAGAUCGGCGCGGGAUGAGACAAGUGGUGUCCCUAAGCAAUCUGAAGCGAGCGGAGAAUUGAAACUUCGCUAUCAAUUGGCCACACUCGUGGGAGUGGUGAGGCCACGAGUCGGUGGUGCAGCGUCAGUAGGAGACUACCAUACACCAAAGGGAUCGUGUAAGAGGGACUCCAAGAGUUGGUGGACCAGUGGUGAUCGCACUAGUUUCGGCUCGUCGAGUAUGGCCGGGAGUCGCGGUGGAGGUGUUUCCGUCGGGGUUGGGUGAUCCGACUUCUAGCAGUUCGUUGGUGGAGGCAGUGAGGAGGGCGAGCUUUGGUGGCCCUCAUGACCUUCAAGCUAUUGGAUCCACCCACCUUUGGUGGAGAGGAUGCGGAUCCAUGAACCAUGGAGUUGUGGAUCGACUCCAUAGAGACUCUCUUUAAGGGUCUAUGUGCUGUGGAGCGGGAUAAGGUACGCCUAGCCGUGCGUUGUCUGAAACAAUCGGCGAUGGUGUGGUGGAAAGGCGUCAAGCGGAUUUGAUCGCCUAGUUUCCUUCCUGUCGCUUGGGAUGAGCUUCGGGAUUUGUCGUGUUCUACUUCCCCGUACCCCGUACCCGAAGUUUGCCCAGUCUGGGCAGUGCACAUUCUUGAGUGCAAUUGCAAUCCCUAACCUCGGAGGUGUCUUGUGUUAACUUCUUCAAGAUACGGGAUUACCGAAGUUCUCACCAGGCGCGGUGGGGUGCGCUGCGUGAUGAGAUCUGCAUUCGUAUGGGCGAUGGCCAAGCCAUAAGCGAGGGGAGUGCCGCUGAGGGAUGAUCAGACCUUAGCGUUAGCGACGGCCUCCUCCUCCCCGAGACAGCCUGUGCGUGUGUCACCUGCAGCAUGGUUUGGAGGGUGAGUGAUAAAGAAGUGACAACCUGAGGGUUCGCGGCGAGCGCCAGGUGGCCAUGGAUAGCGACCCGGUUUGGGGAGCCUGCUGCUGCCGAGGAUAUCGCGGCAGAUGUGAUUUAGUUAAAGCAAGCAGGUACUUUUGCAUGAUCUCAAGUUGACGCAUUGUGUCUUUGCCCUGUGGUCAUUUACUGCUAUCGAUGCGUCAGAGUGGCAGGGACCAAGUGGACGGGUAAGUGUAAAUGCCCGGGCAUGCUUAUGCGGUGAAAGUGUAGCACCUGCCGGUGCAAGCAAGGAGCUAUAUGGCACUAACAAGUUACUAGUGAUAACCAGGUGAUAAGACUCAUGGUAAAGGUGGAGAUGGGGAAAUGACUCUCGAGGCAACGAUUAGUGGAUUGCGAGGGUUGAACCAUAAUACCUGUAGACACGCGAGUAAUCCGAGAAUUUCGGAUAUUGUUCCGAUAGAUCGAACGGUGAAAGGAAAGUCAUUGUUGAGAGAGUAACUGGUUAGUUACCAAGUUGUGGCACGUGGGCCUAGUAGUAGCACCUCAACUUGAGGUUAGAAGUUGUGCUUAUUUGGUCGGCGCGCAUAGGCAGGGUUGCCUGAUGCUAGAUUUAGUUUGGAACGCUAUAGAGGCGUGUAGAGCGCUUGAGUAUAGGUACUCGUGGUGUGCGGUAUUCACUCAGCCGAGAAAGUGAGAUGGCAGUAGCACUGUAGCAUUGCUAGGUGUGAAGCGUGCCUGGUAUCACUCGUAGGGGCUGAUGGCUCGCACUAGGUGCUUAGGAGCGGAUAUUGGUAUGUGUGACUCGGUAGAGCAUGUCGUGUAGGACGACGACGGCGGGUAGUGCUUGGGGACGACCCGUGCCUGGACCAUUUGUGGACUGUAGAGCCUGAGCCCUUUGGGCAGGCGCAGUCAGCUGUGAGAGACAGCGGCCCGAUACCUACAGGUAGGGCAGAGAUUUGGUCAGGAUGGUAGUCCGAGCUUAGACCCGGGAGCGUGGAAUGCCACGUGUUAGAUCAUGAGAUCGAGGAUACACCGAGUGUGUAGUGACCCAACCCGAGGAUUUGAGGUGGUUUGGGGUCACGGUUGCUCCUGGUUGGAGCGUGUGCGAAUUCUCCAAUGCGAAUUUCGCCCGAUUAUGAUUUGGCCUACGCUGGUGAGCAAGGGACGCUAUACGUAGUUGUAAGAGGUUUAGGCGGUAGACCUACGUAGGACGGGUGACUGUUGGUCCACCUGUGGAAACCGACGUAAUCGGUUUAGCCGAUAACUCUAUUAGUGAGUUGGCUUGGAUUCACGAACAUAGGGUUCGUGUGGAUUUGUCGCAAGAGCAAGGUAAAGUUGGUCGUGGCUUAUGAUAUCAAGGGCGAAAUGCUCUUGUGCGAUAUUGAGAUGUGGAUAGCCACGUGGGAAUUGGAGCUUGAGGACAAUGCUCUUUUGUGGAUUGAGAUUGGAGAUGUGCCGGAAUGGGCCAUCUCCUGAUAGAACAAGGAUCCGGUUGUGAUGAACCACUCGCGAUUGGUCGAGUCACCAACGAUAUUGCUUCUAAGCAAUGCAGGUGAUCGAAUCGGAGUGAAAUUUUUCGUUUGGGUGUAUAAUGCAAGAGUAGUUCUUUGCAUGGUGGUAAUACACUUUUGGAGCUGCACGUGGCAAAUGUGAGUGAAUCUAGUCUCACAUCUUCCGUAGUGAGCCUAUGGAUAGUUCCGAUGAGCGAAAAGCCACUCCGAGAUGCAAAAGUGCACUGUACCCCUUGUCACUCAAGAAAGAGAAUUAGAGUGUGAAUUGGGUUGAAGUGAGUGAGUUUCGGGGACGAAACUCUUUUUAAGGAGGGGAGAAUGUAAGGUACCGGACUUCUAAAACUAUGAAGUUACGGUGUACAUUUAAAUGGCUCCGGUGAGGUUGCGGCGGAAUGUAACAUACCGGAUUUUAAAUAUAAAAGUGAAAAUAAAUAAAAAUAGUAUGAGAUACUAUUUUUAUUGGAUUUAGAGAAGUGAAAUAUAGGUUGGGAAUGACCUGUGCUGAAAUCGGAGCGAAAACAGAAGAUUUAGAAUUUUCUGUUGGAAAUGGGACAGAUAAUUAGCAGAAAAUGCACAGUCUCAGAAAAUUAUGAAAAUUGGCGGGGAUGUCAGAAAUAUUUUAAUGAGGCUAGAUUUGAAGUUUCAUAUUUUUCUGACGCCCGUAGAGAGAGAAAUAGCAUCCGAAAGCCAUCUGAUAAAGAUUGCAGUUCGGCACAGUUUUCGGUGACCAAACGGGGUCGAAACUGAAAUAUUAAAAUUUCUUUGGACUUAUUAAGUAAAACCGAGCGUGCCUGUCAAAUUUGAGCUCAAACGGAUAUUCAGGGAGCUCCGGCGAAAGAUAUCAGAUUUGGAGCUGCCUGAUGUGAAUAGUGUAUGCUACUAUUGAGGUGUUGACUAUAAGUAGAAGCUACUAGGCUUCUUCCUCCUCAAGUUGCAGCCAGCACCAAGCAUCACACGCACAUGGUGUAGUGAGAGAAACCCUCUCUUUCUCUCUCUAAAUAUCUCUCUCAUCUCUCUAUAUUUCUCGCCCAAAUUCGCGGCGUUGGUGGAGAUCGAGCUUGCGAACGCGUUGGAGGCGACGGAUUGAGCUUUCGUGCGCCCGUUGGAGCGGCGUGUUUUCGUUGCGGCGUUCACAUUGGGGUAAGCUUUUGGGAUUUGGCUUAAUCCUUAGCUUUAAGUGUUCUAUUAGCCUCUAAUGAUCAUUAGUAAGCAUAUUGAUCCAUUUAAUUUGGAUUAUUUGGAGGUUAAUUGUACGUUAGGGCUCCGAAUGGGAUUUUGUAAAAUGUAAGGGUUUGAUCUCAUUUGACCCUUCGUAAACCUAAUUGCUAGGUAACGAAACGCGUUGGCGAAGACGGUUCGGUAAUUCGACGAGCCGUUACAAAGUUAUUAAAGAAAUAGACGUUUAGGCUUCGGGUCCGCCGGGAGGGCCGAUGCGACGUCGUAAAAUCAUGGAAAUGGAUUUGAGGCAUCGUGGCACAUAACCGAAGACCUAUAAUUUCCGGAUUUGUAAAGCGGAACACGGUUGAGGCGCAAGAUCUUGUCGGGCCCAAAGGGUGCCGAGUGCCGCGGGAGGCCGAUUGCAAGUGACGACAAGCAAUCGGAACGCGAGUUAAGGUGGGUUGUGCUUACCGAAGCGACUAGGUCGCCCUUUAUGUCUUAGCAAUGUAAUCUCAUGUUGAUGCAUGUGCAUGUAGACAAGAGCAAGGAUGCAUGUUAAUAAAGAUGCAUAAAGUAGAUGCUAAGUAGAAAGCAUGAUAAAUGGUAAUGCUUAGAGCAAAUGCAUAUUAAUAACAAUGCAUAGUGGAGCAUAAUGAUUAUGGCAUUAGAUAAUGCUAGCUAAUGUAAAGUAAUGCAUGAUAAUGAUAAUGCAUAGAUGAAAAUGCUUAGUAGAAAUGCAUGGUGAGCAAGUUACACAAUGCUAAUAAUGCAUGAUAAUAAUGUAAUGCUAAGUAAUGCAUGAUAUGAAGUAAAUGCAUAUUAAUAAUAAUGCAUGAUGAGGAUGCUAAGUAAGGGAUGCAUGUUAGUAAUGAUGCAAAGAGUAAUUGCUAAGUAGAAAGCAUGAUGCAUGGUAUAUGUAUAUAAACCAGAUGAUAACUCUAGGAUGAGUAGAGAUGACUGGACAACUAAGUUGUCAGGUAGAUCGAGUGGCAUCUAACCUAGUGUUAAAGAACAUAGGUUGGUUAGUAAACCUAGAGUUGAACAAUCUAGGUGUGUGGCAUCUAACCUAGUGUUAGUAAACCUAGGUUGAACUAGUAAACCUAGAAGUGGAUAUCUAGGCAAAGAUGAUAAGAACCUAGCAAGUGUAUCUAGGUUAAGUGAUGUGGACAUAGAACCUAGAGUGUUGGAACCUAGGUUGAUGAGUAUAGUGGUAUAGCCACUAGAUUGAGCUAGGUCGACAGUAUAGGGUUGGCUAUGAACCCUCGACCUGUGGUAAGUGGAUUCCGGAAUCCCAGGACUUAUGAUGUCCCUGGUACAGGCUAGGGCGUUCGUGCGACGAUUUCGCCGCCGAGCUUGGUACCGUGGGUAGAUUGGGGGCGAUCACAUGGAGAUCACCGCCCGGGGCUUGAACCAUUGUGCUGGCGUUUGUGCGACGAUUUCGCCGCCAGAGUGGUUAAGCCAUUUGAGGAUCAGACCGCCAGAGUAGACUGAAUCCAUGCUGGGUAAGUACGAUGCGGGUGCCUCCAGGUGACUGAGUCUGACAUGAUCGUUGUUGGGUGUGGUGCGACCCGUUCGCCGCCAGACGGUAUGUCAUGUCUCGAGCUCACGCUGGGUAUGUGCAACGCGAUCGCCACCGAUGGUCAAGUCUUGUGACUCGAGCCGUCUUCAGCGUGUGCGACGAUUUCGCCGCUAGGAGGCUGAGUCAGAGAGAGUGCGGUAGGCUGUUGAGCAGCCAGUGCGCGGACUAUCCGCAGAUGAUUGACUCGAAGCCGAGUCGGGUGGUUAGCUAUGAUAGGGUAGAGGAACCCUUAUGAGCCAGAGAUAGAGGCUUGAGCUAAGGUAAUAGAAACCUUAGAAGCCAGUGGUUGGUGUUGUGAUCCUAAGGUAAUAGAAACCUUAGAGUAAAGUUAUGAGCUAAAGUAGCCAAGUAAAAGUAGAAUUCAUAUGAUCUACUAGUUGUUGCAUGGUUUUCAUAUCGCAUAUCGUGAGGCAUGGCAUGUAUUUCAAUUGAAUAUAUAUAUCUGUUGUAUAUUGUUGAACUAACAUGUUGCAGUGCCUCCUCGGACCUAUCGGUCGAGCUUUUCCCUUGGGUGGCCGUACCCACUGGGAACCAUGGAGUUGGUUCUCACCCCACGUGAUUUUG
rnacentral:lncRNA from 1 species